rnacentral:rRNA from 1 species
GACGAACGCUGGCGGCGUGCUUAACACAUGCAAGUCGAACGGAAAGGCCCUGCUUUUGUGGGGUGCUCGAGUGGCGAACGGGUGAGUAACACGUGAGUAACCUGCCCUUGACUUUGGGAUAACUUCAGGAAACUGGGGCUAAUACCGGAUAGGAGCUCCUGCUGCAUGGUGGGGGUUGGAAAGUUUCGGCGGUUGGGGAUGGACUCGCGGCUUAUCAGCUUGUUGGUGGGGUAGUGGCUUACCAAGGCUUUGACGGGUAGCCGGCCUGAGAGGGUGACCGGCCACAUUGGGACUGGGAUACGGCCCAGACGCCUACGGGAGGCAGGAGGGGGGAAUAGUGCGCAAUGGGCGGAAGCCUGAUGCAGCAACGCGGCGUGCGGGAUGACGGCCUUCGGGUUGUAAACCGCUUUCGCCUGUGACGAAGCGUGAGGGACGGUAAUGGGUAAAGAAGCACCGGCUAACUACGUG